rnacentral:rRNA from 1 species
AAUCAACGCUGGCGGCGUGCCUAACACAUGCAAGUCGAACGAGAAAGUGGAGCAAUCCAUGAGUAAAGUGGCGCACGGGUGAGUAACACGUGACUAACCUACCCUUGAGUGGGGGAUAACCUAGGGAAACCUGGGCUAAUACCGCAUAAUAUCGAGAGAUCAAAGGAGCAAUUCGCUUAAGGAGGGGGUCGCGGCUGAUUAGCUAGUUGGUGGGGUAAUGGCCCACCAAGGCNGUGAUCAGUAUCCGGCCUGAGAGGGCGCACGGACACACUGGAACUGAAACACGGUCCAGACUCCUACGGGAGGCAGCAGUGGGGAAUUUUGCGCAAUGGGGGAAACCCUGACGCAGCAACGCCGCGUGGAGGAUGAAGUCCCUUGGGACGUAAACUCCUUUCGAUCGGGACGAUAAUGACGGUACCGAGAGAAGAAGCCCCGGCUAACUUCGUGCCAGC